rnacentral:rRNA from 1 species
CACAUCGCUGACGAGUGGCGGACGGGUGAGUAAUGCUUGGGAACUUGCCUUUGCGAGGGGGAUAACAGUUGGAAACGACUGCUAAUACCGCAUAAUGUCUUCGGACCAAACGGGGCUUCGGCUCCGGCGCAAAGAGAGGCCCAAGUGAGAUUAGCUAGUUGGUAAGGUAACGGCUUACCAAGGCGACGAUCUCUAGCUGUUCUGAGAGGAAGAUCAGCCACACUGGGACUGAGACACGGCCCAGACUCCUACGGGAGGCAGCAGUGGGGAAUAUUGCACAAUGGGGGAAACCCUGAUGCAGCCAUGCCGCGUGUGUGAAGAAGGCCUUCGGGUUGUAAAGCACUUUCAGUUGUGAGGAAAAGUUAGUAGUUAAUACCUGCUAGCCGUGACGUUAACAACAGAAGAAGCACCGGCUAACUCCGUGCCAGCAGCCGCGGUAAUACGGAGGGUGCGAGCGUUAAUCGGAAUUACUGGGCGUAAAGCGCACGCAGGCGGUUUGUUAAGCUAGAUGUGAAAGCCCCGGGCUCAACCUGGGAUGGUCAUUUAGAACUGGCAGACUAGAGUCUUGGAGAGGGGAGUGGAAUUCCAGGUGUAGCGGU